rnacentral:rRNA from 1 species
AUGCAGCCAUGCCGCGUGUAUGAAGAAGGCCUUCGGGUUGUAAAGUACUUCAGUCGUGAGGAAGGUUCAUACGUUAAUAGCGUAUGGAUUUGACGUUAGCGACAGAAGAAGCACCGGCUAACUCCGUGCCAGCAGCCGCGGUAAUACGGAGGGUGCGAGCGUUAAUCGGAAUUACUGGGCGUAAAAGCGCAUGCAGGUGGUUAGUUAAGUCAGAUGUGAAAGCCCGGGGCUCAACCUCGGAAUUGCAUUUGAAACUGGCUGACUAGAGUACUGUAGAGGGGGUAGAAUUUCAGGUGUAGCGGUGAAAAUGCGUAGAGAUCUGAAGGAAUACCGGUGGCGAAGGCGGCCCCCUCGGACAGAUACUGACACUCAGAUGCGAAAGCGUGGGGAGCAAACAGGAUUAGAUACCCUGGUAG